ensembl:lncRNA WEE2-AS1 WEE2 antisense RNA 1
GGCGAUUUUGUUGCUGUACGAACACCACAGAAUGUACUUUGACGACCUAGAUGGUGGAGCCUGGACACACCUCGGCUCUGUGGUGUGGCCUGCUGCUUCCAGGCUGCAAACCUGACAGCAUGGGGCUGUACUGAAUACCGCAGACCAUUGUAAUUCAUGGGGAAAGCGCGAAUGCAGUCCCCCACUACAACAAAUUAUGCAGUCGAGUUUUCCACAUUUGGGAAUAUCACAGGGGUCAGCACAUCCGGAGUGCAAUCGAUGAGCCCCACGCUGGGAAAAACCACCUUCGUGAUCAUGGUAUCUUCCCUGCCAGAGAGAAACCAAUCAGCUUCAUUUUCAACUUCUUCUAUGACUCCAGAGGAUUCACUUUGCAUCUUGUGACAAAUGAAUAUAUUACCUGAAAAAAAAAUGACAGGAUAGAUUAUUCAUUCUGAAUGAUCAUGUGGUCAUCUUCUGCCCAUGAGGAAUAGUAACGUACCACAUGGGGGUGAUGCCCAAGCACUGCGUGAGCAUAAACUUCAUGCAAAGCCGAAUUCCUAUGAGACAGAAAAGCAUUGAGGAAUAAAAACAUCAAUCAAGAUAAUGCACACAAAAAUGUUUCUUAAAAAUAUGAGGCUUUACUAGCAAUGGCAGAAUAUUUAUUGAGAGCUCACUGCUUGCUUACUAUUUUAUCUCA